rnacentral:lncRNA from 1 species
AAACCAAAGCAAAAUUUUAAAAGACUCUGGAUACAGUUUAGUGUGAAAGCCCUGGGUUCAGUCCCAAAUACCAGAAAAUAAUUACUCAACUCCACCUUUGCCCACAGUAGCUUCUUAUGCCAUUUUUAUGUCCUGAUUUCUAGAUUGUUAAUCAGCCAUUAUUACAAAAUUUAGUUUUCUUCUUUAGAAAUGUGUAACGUUGGACCCACUUGUGUUUGCUUGACCCAUGUAAAUCAACUCUGGAGGUCAGUCCACACUGAACAUGACGCAGAGAAGACACCUGUUCAUCACCCCUUCGGGCGCCCAGGUGCCCCUCGGAGAAUUCAGACCAAAUGGAUCUCCUCCUUCCCCACCCCAGCGCCUCCCCCGCGCUGAUGCAGAAAUGUGUGAAGACCGAGAGGCUGGAGCUGACGUCAGCACAUGGCAGCAAGGGCAAAGAGCAGCAGAGCGCUCAGGGUGCUCACAAUGGUCUGGCCCUCCAGGUAACGUGUCCCGGGGUCCAUACGAGUCCUUGCAGCACUGAGCUGGCACAUCCCGUCCUGACCAUU